UACGAAGGGGGCUAGCGUUGCUCGGAAUGACUGGGCGUAAAGGGCGCGUAGGCGGUUCGUACAGUCAGACGUGAAAUUCCCGGGCUCAACCUGGGGGCUGCGUUUGAUACGUGCGGGCUUGAGUUCGGAAGAGGGUCGUGGAAUUCCCAGUGUAGAGGUGAAAUUCGUAGAUAUUGGGAAGAACACCGGUGGCGAAGGCGGCGACCUGGUCCGAUACUGACGCUGAGGCACGAAAGCGUGGGGAGCAAACAGG
rnacentral:rRNA from 1 species